UACAGAGGGGGCAAGCGUUAUUCGGAAUUAUUGGGCGUAAAGGGCGCGUAGGCGGCCAUUCAAGUGACGGGUGAAAGCCCUCGGCUUAACCGAGGAACUGCCUGUCAGACUGGGUGGCUUGAGACCGGGAGAGGUGAGUGGAAUUCCCAGUGUAGCGGUGAAAUGCGUAGAUAUUGGGAGGAACACCAGUGGCGAAGGCGGCUCACUGGACCGGAACUGACGCUGAGAAGCGAAAGCGUGGGGAGCGAACAGG
rnacentral:rRNA from 1 species